rnacentral:lncRNA from 1 species
UCAUGGACCUCGACAAGGACUUCCAGAAAUCCCUCUCGCCUGCAAAUUUGCACAUAACAGAUGAGAAAACACAAUGCAACGAUCACUACAAUCGAAGCAACUCUAUCAAACCUACAAUGUACCAUCUGAAGUUCUAAUUGUGAGUUCUAACAGAGAGCCGAAUGAGAACGCCUGUCGGAAAUUUUGCUACAUGAUUCUCAUGUCCAACAUACCUUCAGCGGAAAAACGGUAAUCGCAGAUGAACCUGGAAUAAUAUUUCAUAAUCUCUGCAAGCAACAGAUUCGAAAAUAAUGUAGGCGUUCUGUUUUUGUUGAGCGGGUGAGGCAAGUAUGCAGAGCAGCAUAUUUUAUCAAGUCCUCGAAAGGCAUGACAUAUUUCGACGUAUAUCAUGCGCGCACAAUCCAACGAUGUCCAUGGUGGAAUAAAUCUCUGGAAAUUCUCUACAACACACCAACUGUUAACGAACACGGCAUGCAUGUAGUAAAAGAAGUCAAAACCUUAGAAAACUUCUCAACAACAAAGGGCACCUACUGAAGGAGUCUCUUCAUCCUGCUCCAAGUCUUC